AGUAACUCAGCGCAAUUGUUCCUGCACGGGAAAAGCAAACAAUUGUAAGAUCUGCAAUAAGUAAGUUCCGCGCAGCUAUUCAGUUGCAGUUUGAUUUCCAUUGAGCAAUUUACAAUCUUGGAACCGUAUUGUACGGAUUGGCUGAGGACACACUAAGAACUGGGGGAUCUGGACACCCCAAAGAAGUUUCACCUAAUGAGUUGUAUGGUCAAUCGGCUAUCUACAUUGCAGCUGCUCAUGCUUUGAAACCAAAUUACAAUGUAAGGUUCCCAUAGUUUUCUUUCUCAACCAAUUUGAUUUGAUAUUUAUAUGGAGAA